rnacentral:RNase_P_RNA from 1 species
UGAGUCGGCCGGGCGGCCGCGGCAGGUGACUGUCGAGGAAAGUCCGGACUCCACCGAGCACGGUGGUGGCCAACAGCCACCCACGGCGACGUGCGGGACAGUGCCACAGAGAACAGACCGCCAGCGGCCCCCAGCUCUCGAGCCGGGGGUGCGGGUAAGGGUGAAACGGUGAGGUAAGAGCUCACCAGCACGCCGGGUGACCGGUGUGGCUCGGUAAACCCCACCGGGAGCAAGACCAAGAGGGCCUCGUCCGCGGGGCCUGCGCUGACGGGCUGCUCGUCCGAUGUCAGCGGGUAGGUCGCACCGAGGCGUCCAGCAAUGGGCGUCCCAGAUGGAUGGCCGCCCCUCACCCCAGGUGAGGACAGAAUCCGGCUUACAGGCCGGCUCAUUCG